AAAAGAGAAAUUUUCCCUUACCAAAAUGAAAUGUUUGCUGCAAGUUUGCGGCAAGCUUGCAGCAAGUUUGCGGCAAACAAAUCUAUGUACCAGAACAGUAUGCCAGAAGUGUGCAGUAAAUGCAGCUAGCAGCACACAGUAUGCCACUUGCGGUUCAUUGUGUGCUGCUAGGGGCACAUAUGUACUUCUAGCGGCACAUUAAAUGAUCUGAUGCACAUAUGUGCCAGAAGUAUGCCACAAUUUUCCCUUAGAUGCCUUCUAUUUAUAUAGUGUGCCAGAAGUGUACCAGAAAUGUUUCUUUUAACUAUCAAAAUCAUUGUGUGCCAAAAGUGUGCCAUAAAGAUUUAGGAACGACUUGUCUGUUGCGUUACAGACCUAUCUAAGAACGGCUUAUCAGUUCACAUCCGGUUUAGAAGUUUGCGCCAAUUUUAAACCACCUGGGUCAUGACUCAUGACAAGAACAAAGAGAAAGGAGAAAACAGCAACAUAGACCGUGGAUAAAGAGAGAAUAUGGACUGAUGAUGAAUCAGUAAACGGCUCCACAAAGAAUAGAUCAGAAGGGCAUUUAUCUGCAGGAAAGGAUUCUGCUAACUAAGAGAUGGACUAAAAGUACUUGCAUAAUGUUGGAAAGGAAGCCCCCCCCCCCCCACCCCCCCAAUCAUGAAAAGUUAGUUGAAAUGUUAGAGUGAACUUGAAGUACUGUACCAAGAAAGUAGUUAAUAAAUAUUCCUAUCAAAUGUGUCGCCCGCAUGGUUAGAGCGUCUGCUCUCGAGUCACGAAGUAAGGAGUUGAAUUCCACUGUGGAUCCUUCGGAUGAGACUGUAUAAACUGAGGUCCCAUGUUGCAGUAGGUGAUGAUCAAAAAAGAUCCUCCCUGCUCAAUGGCCCUGAGUGCCAAUUAAUGUAGUAUAGGACAAAAUUUGCAGCUCUCCCACGGCAGAUGUUGGCAUCUCCAUAUAAGUGAAAAAUUCUCAUGAGGGACUUUAAACAAUAUACAAUCAAUCAAUUAAUGGAAAAUGCAACAGAUGAGGACACUCUUUCAACAUGACAUGGAUUCUUCAAGGGGAUUAUGUUGUUGUUGUUUUAAAAGUGAUAGAAUCAAGACACUGAACAAAAUGGUCGCCUUUACUGUGUAAAUAAUAUUGUGAGAUUUAAUUUGUCAAAAUACUUUAGAUGUUUAUUCAUAUCAUGCAGCACUAUUUACUUUGAUAUGUGCAGUUGAAAUUCAUUGUAAGAGGUGAAUCUUUUCUUUGAUGUAAAAUGUUUUGUGAUUGUUGUUAACUACAAAUCCUCUAUUCAUUUUGCAUAAUGACCAAUGUAAAUUUGUGCCAUUAUUUUACUCAAAGGUUGUGAAUUUAUUUUUUUUAAUCUGUUUCUUUCUCUAUCUGACGUAUACAGUGUAACUGUUCAAUCAACAGAUUUUGUUCCGUACUGUGCAAGUUUUUUUUACACAUUAAUAUUAUAGUUAGUGUUAUAUAUACAUGUACCUUUUUACCUUGAAAUUUUCAUAAAUAAUUUUUAAAAUGGCUUAAAUGUUCUUUUUUUUUUAUAGUACAUGUAUUACAUGUUGCUGUCAUGUU